UCAGCAUAUCGUACCGAUUCGUGAAUAUCAGCAAUAUUCGUUUGGUUCGUAUCGAAUCGGCCAGAGUGAGUGAGCGCACGAUAGGGAUAUCAUGUGAUGAAUGAAACAGAAACAGGCAUUAUCCAUACAAUUGUAAACCUUAUAAUUAAGCCCAUAUGUCUGUAGAUUAUUCUUAGCGUAUCAGCAGGAUACAAUUUAGGAAAGAAGUUUCAACUUUCGACCCUAACUUGAAUGCAGUAUAGCCUAUUUGCAUCGUUGAAUUUAAUUUCAUGCGCUUUGACCUUGAACUAGAAUUUUUGGACAAGUGUUUAUAAAUACUUAAAAGUUUUUUGUGUUUGAUUUUUAAAGUACACAUUUUUCUAUUUUUAGUUGAAUCCCAAAAAUUGAGUUUAUUUCUUGUGUUUGUAUUAAACUUUUGAAAUCUACACUCUUUUGGUAUAUUUUGUAAUUUUAAAUUAAGACACAAAAUACUAAAAACUGAAAAUAAUGUAGCCAGUCCUAAGACUGGUAAAGAAAAAAAGGGGUGACGUCGAGUGUGAACACAAGUGUCUUCGAAGUUUCCCGGUGUUUUAAUUAAUAUUAUUUGUUUAAAUUGCUGUUGACUUGCGCUACUGAUUCGUGUUGGUGUUGGUAUAUAUCUGUUGUGCCGUGAGUGUAAAUAUAUUGUGUUUGUUAUAUUAUUAAAAGGUUAGUAAUUCAACAGUUGAUUACUUUGUAAAAUAAUAAUAAUUAAAAUUGAUGUGA